rnacentral:rRNA from 1 species
GACGAACGCUGGCGGCGUGCUUAACACAUGCGAGUCGAACGGAAAGGCCCUGCUUUUGUGGGGUGCUCGAGUGGCGAACGGGUGAGUAACACGUGAGUAACCUGCCCUUGACUUUGGGAUAACUUCAGGAAACUGGGGCUAAUACCGGAUAGGAGCUCCUGCGGCAUGGUGGGGGUUGGAAAGUUUCGGCGGUUGGGGAUGGACUCGCGGCUUAUCAGCUUGGUGGUGGGGUAGUGGCUUACCAAGGCUUUGACGGGUAGCCGGCCUGGGAGGGUGACCGGCCACAUUGGGACUGAGAUACGGCCCAGACUCCUACGGGAGGCAGCAGUGGGGAAUAUUGCACAAUGGGCGGAAGCCUGAUGCAGCAACGCCGCGUGCGGGAUGACGGCCUUCGGGUUGUAAACCGCUUUCGCCUGUGACGAAGCGUGAGUGACGGUAAUGGGUAAAGAAGCACCGGCUAACUACGUG